GGAACGGUAGUUCAGUUGGUUAGAAUGCCGCCCUGUCACGGCGGAGGUCGCGGGUUCGAGUCCCGUCCGUUCCG
rnacentral:tRNA from 2 species